rnacentral:rRNA from 1 species
AGUGAACGCUGGCGGUAGGCCUAACACAUGCAAGUCGAACGGCAGCACAGUAAGAGUUUGCUCUUACGGGUGGCGAGUGGCGGACGGGUGAGGAAUACAUCGGCAUCUACUUUUUCGUGGGGGAUAACGUAGGGAAACUUAUGCUAAUACAGCAUACGACCUACGGGUGAAAGCAGGGGAUCUUCGGACCUUGCGUGAUUGAAUGAGACGAUGUCGGAUUAGCUAGUUGGCGGGGUAAAGGCCCACCAAGGCGACGAUCCGUAGCUGGUCUGAGAGGAUGAUCAGCCACACUGGAACUGAGACACGGUCCAGACUCCUACGGGAGGCAGCAGUAGGGAAUAUUGGACAAUGGGCGCAAGCCUGAUCCAGCCAUACCGCGUGGGUGAAGAAGGCCUUCGGGUUGUAAAGCCCUUUUGUUGGGAAAGAAAAGCAGCAGGUUAAUACCCCGCUGUUCUGACGGUACCCAAAGAAUAAGCACCGGCUAACUUCGUG